CUUAUAUAAGUGCAACAUCCACUAACAUGCCUCUACCAUGUUGGUGUACCUGCUGUGCUAAGAAGGAUUCUCCACCUAUAUCAGGGUCCCAGCUAUCCAGGUCCAGGGGAAAGGGGGGAGAGUGUAUUUCUGUCGCAUGCGCCAACAGGACAGAGGAGAACACAGAGACGUGCACAAAUACAUGGUGCUGUCGUUACUGCUUAGCGAGGCACCUGUGGGAAAGGCUUCUGAAAUGCCAACACAGUCUACAGAGAAGG